rnacentral:lncRNA from 1 species
GCCAUUUUUAGCAAUGUAAUGGUCUAGGUUAACCUUUGUAACCUGUUUUGAAAUAAUAAGAUUGUAUUAUUUGAGUAUUGUGUGUUUUGUGCUUAAUUGCUUAAUUAUGUGGUUUGAUUAAUUAAGAAUAAAAAUAAGCGUCAAAAUUUAAGUGUAAAAUAAACUUAAUAUCUUUGAUCUAUGUUGUAGUAGUUGAAACGAGGUUUCCGAAUAUAUAUAGAACGCCCAAAUCUGACUUCGUAUGAGGAAGUUAUGAUUUAUCGAAGUUCCGGCUUAGCGGUAUGCAGCCUGAAAUACUCGAUUUGAGAUCGAGCGGUUUUUAGCCGAAGCAAUCUAAAUGAGAAUCGAAGAUCUCAUUGUUGUUAUCGAAGCGAUAAAAAGUUAGGCGAGAACGGACGUCAAACGAAGAAGUUAUGAAUUUAUAACGAAAGUUUUUGUCCCGAAUUAUUAAAAAUAAUUAAUAAAAAUAAAUUCAAAAUUAGCCGACGGAGUCUAAACGAAAGUCGUAGAGCGUGGUCUCACCUUUCCGUGGAUAUAAAGAACGUCGAAAACGGAGUUCGUAUGAAGAAGUUAUGAAUUUCCGAAGUUUAUUAAUCAUUUUGUAUUUAUAUUUAAAUCAAAAUUCGGAAGCAUUAUCCGAAGGAGUCACCGAUCUGAUCCGAGGUACGCCCCGCGUACUCGAGUACGCCCCGCGUACUCCGAGGGAUGUCGACACUCGCACUCGAGCACUUCGGAUACGUAAGCAAUGACGUUUUGGGCAGUACGCCCCGCGUAACGCAGUACGCCCCGCGUACUCCGAGGCUCCAGCCUCCUAUAAAUAGGAUGCGAGGGUUCCGGGUAUUUUUGCCAAUUCCCUCUCGUUUUCGUGUCGAAGCUCUGUGCAAAAACCCCCGAAGCUAUCCCGAAGUCCCGGUAUCAUACUCUAGCCCCGAGGCAAGUCCCGAGAUCCCGAAGAUCCCGAGAAGUGCGGUUCCCGAGCCGAAGCUCUGCCCGCAAGAAGUUCGAUUUUCGAGGAGAUCUUCCAGAUCUGCUGAGGAUUACUACCUCCAUAAGUCGUAGUGAUGUCGGAUCAUCUUCUGAUCAAGUGUGUGUGUAGUUAUUUUCUUCCAAAUACAAUAAUAUGAAGUAUUUUAUGUAAAAUACGUGCUACGUGAAUAUAUUUGGUUGUGUUAUGUGUGAAUGUGUAUUCACUCUCUUCUAUCGUAUAGAUCUGAUUAUUUCUCUAUGAGAUAUGUGUUAUGUGUGUGUGUGCCUCAUCUGUUAUGUGAUAUAUGUGUUGAUUAAAGCAUGCUAUACAGGUUUUUAAACUAUGUAUACAAAUGUAUAUUUUUAUCUACUAAUAUGUUGGGUAGAACAUGGGUAGAUAGUUGGUGUGUAAUAAACAGAUGAGAGGCCUCGUUGUUGUUUGAUUUAGUCAUCUAGCGGAGUUUAGAUGACGACCACAUACUUUUCUAGAUAGUCUUGUGGAAACAUUAGCAGGUUCGCCACCUGUAGGUGUUAAUGAACUUGGGUGUUCAUUCGCUGUACUCCAUCCCCCUCAUGGUUGCCUUAUUUGACUUAUAUUGCUGAGGUACCCCCGAAGCAUGUGUUGUCGCCCCGAUGAAAUAUUCUUAGACUAGGUCCCUUAUGUUAGUUGUUUUAGGGACAUUAAAGUGAGAAUAACGGGAAUGGGUAAUUGGGUUAUUGUUGGUUGGUGAAAAUUAAAUAUGAUAUUUAUUGUGGGUUGAAAACCCUAUAUGCUCACCAGGCUCCCAAGCCUGACCCACUCAGUUUUAAAUUGUAUUACAGGUAGUGGCGGAAGGGCAUGAGAUGGAUGAACCAUCAAGUUGUUUUGUUUACAAGUCUGCAUAUGUUUAUAUUUGUUAUAUGACUUGUAAUGUAUUCGUUUAUGCUUAUUGGUCUGUAUCGGAACAUGACACCCCGAGUUUUGAUUAUAAUGAAAAUACAUUUCUUUUAUGAAAUGCUUCGGUAAACAAUGUUUUAUCAUGUUUUGUUUUUGGGAACAAAUUCCGCAACUCUUUCAAAUCAAAAGGAUUUACUCUGAAAAUAUUUAAAAGCAUAAAUGAAAAUCGGUCUUUUCUGGCCGAGAUUUUGGGGAUGUCACAGUUGGUAUCAGAGCAUUAGUUUAAGCGAACUAGGAAUUUGUAGGAUUUCUAGACUUAAACUUAGAAUGCUAAGUGAAGUUUUGAGAUGUGUGUCUGUUGUGAUUUAGACACGAGCACUAGUUUAUUUUAGGAAAGUUGCCUAAAAUGCUUUAUGUGCUAAAUGUUAUAUGUUGCCAUAUAUGAUAUUAUUUGUUCGGAUCUAUGGUCUGUUGCCGACCGGAUCUAGAAACCUUAUGUGUGUAGGAUUCUAAGCGUACGUCUACGAUAUUAGAACUAGCAUGUAAACGUUUCGGAGUGAUAAGGAUGAUUUGAAUAUCUAUCAUGAUUGAGGAUCUAAUUUCACCUUAUUCGGUGUAGAUCAAAAUGGUGAGAACAAGAAGUGGAGUUGGAAAUGCUGACGAAAACAGGAAUCAACCACCAGUGAUUGAGCCAAUACCUGUCGUAGCAGCAGCACCUGAGCCAAUAACCAUGGCUGGUGUGCAAUUGAUGAUUCAGACGAUGUUGGAUCGUCAGAUGGAUGAAACUAGACGGUUGCUUCAACAAAAUCGUGAAGAACUGUCGAUUCGUGUGGAAGAGCCUGAACUGAAUGAAGGGCACUCGGAAGGUGGAAACUUCAGUGGGUCUGUUGGUCCAGCCAACCCACCGAUAGUUAGGCAAGAUAACCAUGAUGGAAGGAAUGAUGGAAUGGGAUGCAAGUACAAGGACUUUUUGACUUGUAAACCAUCGACCUUCAAUGGAAAGGAGGAUCCGAUUGGGGUUAUGGAUUGGAUCUCCGAAAUGGAGUUAGCCUUUAUGACAUGUGGCUGUAGAGGCAAGUUGCAGACUAUCUAUGCCGUGCGACAAUUCCGAGGUGGAGCCGUUCGUUGGUGGAACACUCUAGGGAAGACCUUAAGCCCUAAUGAGCCACUGCAAUUGUCAUGGGCAGAGUUCUUGGUGCAGUUCAAGCGCAAGUUCUGCUCGGCUCAAAAUCUGUUGGAGUUGGAGAACAAGUUUUUGACAUUGACGAAGGGUAGCAUGUCAGUGGAUGAGUACACCAAUAACUUCACCGAUAAGAUGGAGUUUGCCUUGCGUAUCGUUCCAGACGAGCUGACAAAGGUGGAUCGGUAUGCGAAGGGACUUCCAUGGGAGUACGAGGUGCCGGUACGUCAGGCACUUACUCUAGAGGCAGCUAUCUGGGCUGCCAAGUCUGUGGAGAACAUGAUCAAGGGGAGAACCACCGUCAAGGUUGAGGUUGGUGAGAAAAGGAAGUUUGAAGGAACAUCUGGUUCCAGUAAGAAGAGCAAAUUUUCGAAAUCUGAUUCGAAAAAGUUUGGAGGAAAAGGAGGCGAAGCAAAGUGGUGUGAUAAGUGUAAGAAAAAGCACUUUGGGAAAUGUAGCGAGGAUGUGACCUGCUACAAGUGUGGAAAGGUUGGACAUUUUGCCAAUGAAUGUCCGAACAACAAAAGGAUGUGUUUUGGGUGUAAUGAAGAGGGGCAUAUUUUGAAAGACUGUCCGAAGAAGAAGGAGGCAGCUAGGCCCAACAUUCCACCAAAGCCGAAGGCGAGAGCCUUCCAGAUGACACUUGAGGCUGCGAAAGAUGAAGCUGAUGUCGCUUCAGGUACCUUUCUCGUAAACGAAUUACCUGCUCAUAUAUUGUUUGAUUCUGGAGCCAACUACUCCUUUAUUUCGCAUGAGUUUGGUAGAAAGCUAGCUUUGCCUGUUGAUAGACUAGAUAAUGCUUUAUUAGUCGAAGUAGCUAGUGGCAAGUUUGUACCUGUUAGCCAUCGUAUGAAAAACAUCUUAAUCGACCUUAAUGGGAAUAAGUUUCACGAGGCGUUAUUGCCUAUCGAACUUAAUGGUUUCGACAUCGUCUUGGGAAUGGAUUGGCUUAGCGCCAAUGAUGCCGAAAUUUUAUGCAAGAAGAAGAUAGUUAAAGUAAACCCGCCUGGAAAAGAUUCGUUUAUGGUGUAUGGGGACAAACGCAGAGUGAAUUCUGGAAUCAUUUCUCUAAUGAAAGCCAGAAAGUGUUUGACCAAGGGAUGUACAUCAUAUUUAGCAUUCGUGAUUGAUGCUAAGAAAGAAAAGAAGGUGAUGCAGAGCAUUCCAGUGGUGUGUGAUUAUCCGGAAGUAUUUCCCGAGGAUCUUCCUGGAUUACCACCUGAUAGACAAGUGGAGUUCAGAAUAGACUUGUUACCAGGAACCACGCCAAUAGCAAAAGCACCUUAUCGAUUAGCACCGACGGAGAUGAAGGAGCUGAUGAUGCAACUUCAGGAGUUAUUGGACAAAGGUUUCAUUAGACCUAGUUCAUCGCCCUGGGGAGCUCCGGUGUUAUUUGUAAAGAAGAAAGAUGGAAGUAUGAGAAUGUGCAUCGAUUACAGAGAGCUGAACAAGGCAACAAUAAAGAAUAGAUAUCCGUUGCCGAGGAUUGAUGACCUGUUUGAUCAAUUGCAAGGUUCGAGCUAUUUCUCGAAGAUCGAUCUUAGGUCAGGAUAUCAUCAGCUGAAAGUAAGAGAGCAAGAUAUCGAGAAGACUGCAUUCAGAACUAGAUAUGGACACUACGAGUUCUUGGUUAUGUCGUUUGGACUAACCAAUGCUCCAGCAGCGUUCAUGGAUUUGAUGAAUAGGGUUUGUAAUCCUUUCCUUGAUAAAUCCGUGAUAGUGUUCAUAGACGACAUUCUGAUCUACUCGAAAAGCCAGGAGGAGCAUGGCAGACACUUGCGAGAAGUGUUAGAAGUUUUGAAGAAGGAGAAGCUUUAUGCGAAGUUCUCCAAAUGUGAUUUUUGGAUUCGUGAGGUCCAAUUCUUGGGUCACGUGGUCAACCAAGAAGGGAUAAUGGUUGAUCCAGCGAAGAUCGAAGCUGUGACGAAGUGGGAACAACCGAAAAGUCCCACGGAGAUUCGAAGCUUUUUAGGAUUAGCCGGAUAUUACCGAAGGUUUAUCCAAGGCUUUUCUUCGAUUGCUACUCCAUUAACAGCUUUGACCCACAAAGGAGCUACUUAUGCUUGGAGUGAGAAGCAUAAAGAAGCAUUCGAGAAGUUAAAGAAGAAGCUAUGCGAGGCACCGAUACUUUCUCUACCCGAUGGAGUUGAAGACUUCGCUGUUUAUAGCGAUGCGUCUGGUGUUGGAUUGGGUUGUGUUUUGACCCAAAGAGAAAAGGUGAUAGCAUAUGCGUCUCGACAGCUGAAAGAGCAUGAAAAGAAUUACCCGACUCAUGAUUUGGAGUUGGCAGCGGUAGUUUUCGCUCUGAAAAUAUGGAGGCAUUACCUCUAUGGCACGAAGUGCAAACUUUUCACUGAUCAUAAGAGUCUCCAAUACCUCUUUAAUCAGAAAGAAUUGAAUAUGAGGCAACGACGCUGGCUAGAAUUACUUAAAGACUACGACUGCGAGAUACUUUACCACCCCGGUAAAGCUAAUGUUGUUGCUGAUGCUCUCAGUCGGAAAGUCAAUCUUGAAAGGAAGAGGCCAAGAGCGUUGAGAAUUGAAGUUGUCUCGACUAUUGUGGAAAGUAUAAAGAAAGCUCAAGAGGAAGCUUCUGAGAAAAAUGACCGAAAGGAGGAACGUUUGGGUAAAACGUUGGUGUUUGGUACUAACGGUCAUGGACUGAAGGUAUUCCAAGAUCGUAUUUGGGUACCUAAGUCAGGAGGAAUUAGGGAUCUUCUGAUGGAAGAAGCUCACAAAACCAUGUACUCAAUUCAUCCGGGUAGCACUAAAAUGUAUAGGGACCUGAAACCCUACUACUGGUGGCCGACGAUGAAGCUUGAUGUUGCAAAGUAUGUGGCCGAGUGUGUGACUUGUGCGAGAGUCAAGACACAACAUCAGAAACCUUACGGGAGUUUAGAACCAUUGCCUGUGCCUAUGGGUAAGUGGGAAGACAUUGCUAUGGAUUUUGUCACUAAACUGCCCAGAACAAAGAAUGGUCACGACAUGAUUUGGGUGGUCGUUGAUCGAUUCACUAAGAGUGCGCAUUUCAUAGCGGCCAGGGAGAAAUGGUCUAUGGAAAAGCUUGCGAAUUCUUACGUGAAGGAAAUUGUGAGGCUUCACGGUGUUCCGUUAACGAUUGUAUCGGAUCGUGAUAGCCGUUUCACCUCAAGGUUUUGGAAAAGUCUACAAGAGGAAAUGGGUACCAAGUUAUGUUUAAGCACAGCUUACCAUCCGCAGACUGAUGGUCAGAGUGAAAGAACAAUACAAACACUUGAAGAUAUGCUGAGAGCAUGUACCUUGGAAUUCCUAGGUAAUUGGGAUGAACAUUUACCGUUGGUAGAAUUUUCCUAUAAUAAUAGUUUUCACUCGAGCAUUAAGAUGGCACCUUAUCAAGCUUUGUAUGGACAGAAGUGUCGUACGCCGUCUUGUUGGCUUGAGGCUGGGGAAAAGCAGUUUAUGGGACCGGAGAUGGUUCAUCAAACUGCUGAAAAGUUGAAAAUAAUUAGGGAAAGAAUGUUAGCAGCUCAAGAUCGUCAAAAGAGCUAUGCUGACAAGAAGCGAAGACCGAUGACUUUUGAGGUUGGAGAUUCGGUUUUGCUUAAAGUCUCGCCGUGGAAGGGACUUAUAAGAUUUGGUAAAAGGGGAAAGUUGAGUCCAAGGUUUAUUGGACCGUUUAAAGUCCUUCAGAGGAUUGGGAAUCAAGCUUACAAGCUCGAAUUACCCGAAGAACUGAAUGGAAUUCACAACACCUUUCAUGUGUGUUAUUUGAGGAAGUUCACGGGAGAAGUUCCCGAUAUAAUUCCAAUUUCUGAAUUGAGAAUUGAUGAGAACAAAAGGUUGAUUGAAGAACCAGAGGCAAUUGUUGACCGAAAGACUAAGAAGUUGCGACGCAAAAUGGUUGGGUUAGUGCUUGUCCGAUGGAAACACACGAAUGGGCCGAAUCUCACCUGGGAGACGGAGAGUGACAUGUUGAGUCGCUAUCCGCAUUUGUUUGUUGAUGUGUGAUUCCGGGGACGGAAUCAUUCUAAGGUGGAGAGAAUUGUAACGCCUGUGUUUCCGGGCUUGCCAUUUUUAGCAAUGUAAUAGUCUAGGUUAACCUUUGUAACCCGUUUUGAAAUAAUAAGAUUGUAUUAUUUGAGUAUUAUGUGUUUUGUGCUUAAUUGCUUAAUUAUGUGGUUUGAUUAAUUAAGAAUAAAAAUAAGCGUCAAAAUUUAAGUGUAAAAUAAACUUAAUAUCUUUGGUUAAUGUUGUAGUAGUUGAAACGAGGUUUCCGAAUAUAUAUAGAACGCCCA